GGGACCCGUCUUGAAACACGGACCAAGGAGUCUAGCAUGUGCGCGAGUCAUUGGGACUCGAAUGAAACCUAAAGGCGUAAUGAAAGUGAAGGUUCGCCUUGCGCGAACCUAGGGAGGAUGGUCGAUCGUUCGAGGUCGACCCGCACUCCCUGGGCGUCUCGUUCUCAUUGCGAGAAGAGGCGCACCAAGAGCGUACACGCUGGGACCCGAAAGAUGGUGAACUAUGCCUGGUCAGGACGAAGUCAGGGGAAACCCUGAUGGAGGUCCGUAGCGAUUCUGACGUGCAAAUCGAUCGUCGGAACUGGGUAUAGGGGCGAAAGACUAAUCGAACCAUCUAGUAGCUGGUUCCCUCCGAAGUUUCCCUCAGGAUAGCUGGCGCUCGCUUCUUGCGAGUCUCAUUCGGUAAAGCGAAUGAUUAGAGGCAUUGGGGUCGAAACGGCCUCAACCUAUUCUCAAACUUUAAAUGGGUGAGAUCUCCGGCUUGCUUGAACUGUGAAGCCGCGAGAUAUCGGAUCAGAGUGCCAAGUGGGCCACUUUUGGUAAGCAGAACUGGCGCUGUGGGAUGAACCAAACGCUGAGUUAAAGCGCCUAAAUCGACGCUUAUGGGAUACCAUGAAAGGCGUUGGUAACUUAAGACAGCAGGACGGUGGCCAUGGAAGUCGGAAUCCGCUAAGGAGUGUGUAAA
rnacentral:rRNA from 1 species